rnacentral:rRNA from 1 species
GAUUCUGGCUCAGGAUGAACGCUAGCUACAGGCUUAACACAUGCAAGUCGAGGGGCAGCAUGAUCUAGCUGCUAAGAUUGAUGGCGACCGGCGCACGGGUGAGUAACGCGUAUCCAACCUUCCCUAUAGUAGAGGAUAGCCCGGCGAAAGUCGGAUUAAUACUCUAUGUUUUCCAAUGCAGACAUCUAAAAUGGAACAAAGGUUUACCGCUAUAGGAUGGGGAUGCGUCUGAUUAGGUUGUUGGCGGGGUAACGGCCCACCAAGCCUUCGAUCAGUAGGGGUUCUGAGAGGAAGGUCCCCCACAUUGGAACUGAGACACGGUCCAAACUCCUACGGGAGGCAGCAGUGAGGAAUAUUGGUCAAUGGACGAAAGUCUGAACCAGCCAAGUAGCCGUGCAGGAAGACGGCCCUAUGGGUUGUAAACUGCUUUUAUACAGGGAUAAAGUUCGCCACGUGUGGCGUUUUGUAGGUACUGUAUGAAUAAGGACCGGCUAAUUCCGUGCCAGCCGCGGC